CCUCGGCAUUGCAGACUGCUGCCUCCACAUUUCACAUGUUCUUCAUGGAAAGCCUCCAGCCAUUCUGAAAAAAAAAAAAAAGAAAUCCAGCCAGAGGUGAGAUAUCCCUGGGUCUAUCAGACUAGAGAUGUAGACAGGUAGGAAAAUUGCUGAUGGAUGGCUCUGGUGCUGGAA